UACGAAGGGGGCUAGCGUUGCUCGGAAUUACUGGGCGUAAAGCGCACGUAGGCGGAUAGUUAAGUUGGGGGUGAAAGCCCAGAGCUCAACUCUGGAACUGCCUUUGAAACUGGUGAUCUUGAGUACGGGAGAGGUGAGUGGAAUUCCCAGUGUAGAGGUGAAAUUCGUAGAUAUUGGGAAGAACACCGGUGGCGAAGGCGGCUCACUGGCCCGUAACUGACGCUCAGGCGCGAUAGCGUGGGGAUCAAACAGG
rnacentral:rRNA from 1 species